rnacentral:rRNA from 1 species
GGAAUCUUCCACAAUGGACGAAAGUCUGAUGGAGCAACGCCGCGUGAGUGAUGAAGGUUUUCGGAUCGUAAAACUCUGUUGUAAGGGAAGAACAAGUACGAGAGGUAAUGCUCGUACCUUGACGGUACCUUACGAGAAAGCCACGGCUAACUACGUGCCAGCAGCCGCGGUAAUACGUAGGUGGCAAGCGUUGUCCGGAAUUAUUGGGCGUAAAGCGCGCGCAGGCGGCCUUUUAAGUCUGAUGUGAAAGCCCCCGGCUCAACCGGGGAGGGUCAUUGGAAACUGGAAGGCUUGAGUACAGAAGAGAAGAGUGGAAUUCCAUGUGUAGCGGUGAAAUGCGUAGAGAUGUGGAGGAACACCAGUGGCGAAGGCGACUCUUUGGUCUGUAACUGACGCUGAGGCGCGAAAGCGUGGGGAGCAAACAGGAUUAGAUACCCUAG